rnacentral:tRNA from 3 species
GCCCUGGUAGCUCAGUGGCAGAGCGGGCGACUCCAGAUCGUCAGGUCAUCCGUUCAAUCCGGGUUCGGGGCU